GACGAACGCUGGCGGCGUGCUUAACACAUGCAAGUCGAGCGGUAAGGCUCCUUCGGGAGUACACGAGCGGCGAACGGGUGAGUAACACGUGAGUAACCUGCCCCUUUCAUCGGAAUAACCAGUGGAAACGCUGGCUAAUGCCGAAUACGACCACCGAAGGCAUCUUCUGGUGGUGGAAAGCUCCGGCGGAAAGGGAUGGACUCGCGGCCUAUCAGCUUGUUGGUGAGGUAAUGGCUCACCAAGGCAACGACGGGUAGCCGGCCUGAGAGGGUGACCGGCCACACUGGGACUGAGACACGGCCCAGACUCCUAC
rnacentral:rRNA from 1 species